UUUGGUGUAGGGCAGAGUGGUAUAGGGCAGGGUGGUGUAGGGCAGAGUGGUGUAGGGCAGGGUGGUGUAGGGCAGGGUGGUGUAGGGCAGGGUGGGGUAGGGCAGGGUGGUGUAGGGCAGGGUGGUGUAGGGCAGGGUGGUGUAGGGCAGGGUGGUGUAGGGCAGGGUGGUGUAGGGAAAUCACUAAACCCAUUGGCUUCAGGAAACACUCACUCAAUUCAUGCUCCACUUUUAAAUAAUAAAACAACACUCUCUCCUCUCUCACUCUUCUCUCUCUCUCCUCACUCUUCUCUCUCUCUCCUCACUCUUCUCUCUCUCUCCUCUCUCUCCUCACUCUUCUCUCACUCUCCUCACUCUUCUCUCUCUCUCCUCACUCUCUCCUCACUCUUCUCUCUCUCUCCUCACUCUCCUCUCUCUCUCUCCUCACUCACUCUCCUCCCUCUCUCUCCUCACUCUCCUCCCUCUCCUCCCUCUCCUCCCUCCCUCUCUCUCCUCACUCUCCUCCCCCUCUCCUCACUCUUCUCUCUCUCCUCACUCUUCUCUCUCUCUCCUCUCUCUCCUCACUCUUCUCUCUCUCUCCUCACUCUUCUCUCUCUUCUCUCUCUCCUCACUCUUCUCUCUCCUCACUCUUCUCUCUCCUAUCUCCUCACUCUUCUCUCUCCUAUCUCCUCACUCUUCUCUCUCUCUCCUCACUCUUCUCUCUCUCUCCUCACUCUCCUCACUCUUCUCUCUCUCCUCACUCUUCUCUCUCUCUCCUCACUCUUCUCUCUCUCCUCACUCUUCUCUCUCUCCUCACUCUUCUCUCUCUCUCUCCUCUCUCUCCUCACUCUUCUCUCUCUCUCCUCACUCUCCUCUCUCUCUCCUCACUCUCUCCUCACUCUUCUCUCUCUCUCCUCACUCUCCUCACUCUCCUCCCUCUCUCCUCACUCUUCUCUCUCUCCUCUCUCUCCUCACUCUUCUCUCUCUCCUCACUCUUCUCUCUCUCUUCUCUCUCUCCUCACUCUUCUCUCUCUCUCUCCUCUCUCUCCUCACUCUCCUCCCUCUCUCCUCACUCUCCUCCCUCUCUCUCCUCACUCUCCUCCCUCUCUCCUCACUCACUCUCAACAUACCAAGUCAGGAAAACGUUGA
rnacentral:lncRNA from 1 species